UUUACUUUUUACCUAUAAUGUUUGACCGUUCAUCUUAUUUAAAAAAAUUACGAAUAAUAUUUUUGUUUUUAUUAGAUGAUAAAUCAUGAAUAGUAUUUUAAGUGUGACUAAUUUUUUAAAUUUUUUGAAAAUUUUUUAAAUAAGACGGAUGUUCAAACGCUGAAUACGAAAAUCAAAAG
rnacentral:pre_miRNA from 1 species